rnacentral:misc_RNA from 1 species
GAUGAAGAACGUAGCGAAAUGCGAUAAGUAGUGUGAAUUGCAGAAUUCAGUGAAUCAUCGAAUCUUUGAACGCAAAUUGCGCCCCUUGGUAUUCCAUGGGGCAUGCCUGUUCGAGCGUCAUUUGUGCCUUCAAGCUUUGCUUGGUGUUGGGUGUUUGUCUCGCCUUUGCGUGUAGACUCGCCUUAAAAUAAUUGGCAGCCGGCGUAUUGAUUUCGGAGCGCAGUACAUCUCGCGCUUUGCACUCAUAACGACAGCGUCCAAAAGUACAUUUUACACUCUUGACCUCGGAUCAGGUAGGGAUACCCGCUGAACUUAAGCAUAUCAAUAAGCGGAGGA